CUUCCCACCACUUUCAUCCCCGCGCUCGUGAACAGCCCGAUUAGGCCACGCCGAAGAGCGCUUCCGACGUCGUCCUUCAUCCUCCAUUUCGAAUAGUAGUGACGCAGUCAAGACUAUAAUUCUCCUUCGCUACUCACUUUGAGACCACACGAGGCUCUUCCCUUCCAUUUCUCUUCCUUCUCCCUUCACCUCCCAACCAUCUCACAUGGCCUCAUAGCCGCUAGGACCCCAUCAUCCGCUGGAGCAUGACACCUUCCAUACUACCGCUGCUCUUCCCUGGAGCUCUCAGUUGUUGCUAUUCCAGCCACUACCUCCGUGUUGGAGGCAAAGGACCAGUCCUCCGGCCCGAAAAUAGUAAUGGGAGUUAUUCCGCGUCACCUGUGACCAGAUGGAGGAGUUCGUCGAGUCGAUGACUCCGAGUGUCUCGUAGACGAGGCCACGAAAUCAGCUCCUUCAAAACCUGGGAGCCUCAACGCCACCCCUGGGAUCUUGCCGAUUAGUGCCAUUCGACUUGAGCAGAUGAGCAUGGCUAUCUGAUGGCUAGUUAUUGAACUCCAGCAUGGCUCGGGUGUCACCGUAGCACAUGCCCAUACCUUCGUCCCAUUUGAUGCCAAGUUUUCUAAGGACGUCGGAAAAUAGCUAUGCUUGAGGACAUGAAGAAAACCCCUACCUAUGUUUAACAAAAGCCAAGUACUCUCAAGAAGAAAUUGAUGAAGUACACUCCGAGAUAGCUGAAUACAUACAAGAUUAUAUUUAUGAAUAGAUGGAAAUGGUGAGGCACAUCAUAGUGGACUCAGAGCUGCAUUAUCCAGCUACUUGUAAUGCAAUGUCCUCAAGGGUACAGGGAAGAAGGUCGGAAAGCCAAAAACAAUGGAGACUUCAACAGAUUAAGGAGCAAUGGGAG